AGAGGUUAGAAUACUGUGAGAGGUUAGAAUACUGUUAGAGGGGGUUAGAAUACUGUGAGAUAGAGGGGGUUAGAAUACUGUUAGAGGAGGUUAGAAUACUGUUAGAGGAGGUUAGAAUACUGUUAGAGGAGGUUAGAAUACUGUUAGAGGAGGUUAGAAUACUGUUAGAGGGGGUUAGAAUACUGUGAGAUAGAGG